AGAAUUAAUGACCAUAAUCAAAUGCACUCAAACAAACAGGGACUAAAAACGCAAAUGUCCCUAGUCCCGAAAUGUGGCGCUUAGGCGUGGACCGAAUUGAAGCAAUGCGCGAAUUCUUGGAAAAAUUUAAAAAAAGCAAAGAGAUCAAAACCAGGUUCAAUCGAACAGCUCCACAAAGAAAGGGACCAUGCGCGCAAAUUAACCUUUCAAGGUGAAAAGGCGCGGAUCCGGGCCUCUAAAUGGGUCAACGCGCGGAUCCCUUUUCUACCAAACGGCCCGUUUCGAUUUUGACAAAGUCAGGUUAAAGAAAACCCUAAAACUAGUUGUAUACCAUUCAAAGGCAGAUCAAAACGAUAAAAAAAAAAAUCUAAAGCCUAGCCUCCUAUUCAUUAGGCCGAACUCUAGGUCCUUUCGCCUGCCGUCCGACCUUCAUACUUGAUCCACGGUCAUCAUACAAAAGGCCUAAUCCGGCUCCGUCCGACCGUGAGUCCAAAGGAUCUUUCAGAAGCCUCUGAAUCCCCUCCCCAAAACUCCGACCGCGAUGAAGUGAGCGAGGAUUCGAGGGAACCAAAAACGGAGGUAAGCCUUUUUUCGUUGUUUCUUUUAUACAUCAAAUAGAAAAGCAAGAAACCAAGAAAGAAAGAUCACCGAAUCGGGGAAGAAGAAGAACUAAAAAGGUCACCUUUUUAAUAUUUUUCUAUUCGAAUGCUUUUGAUUGCUUUUUUUUGUAUAUUGCCUCUAUUCGUAACCUUUACAACAAUUAAAAGCUUGGCUUUUAUAGCCGAAAAAAGAGAAAAAUAAAUCGAAAAUAUACAAUAUAUUUUUGUUUCUAUUCGCUGCUGCUCUGUUUGUUUGCCUGCAGGUAUGGGUGUGCGCUGGCGUACGGGGCGUACGGAGGCAUGGAGCUGCUGUCCGGUUGCUGUUGCGGCGCAGGAGAAGGGGGGUGACUUAGGGUUUGUCUUGGUUUAAUAUUAUGGGCCUAUCGGGCCUUGUAAAUUUGGGUUAAGUUAAAAUUGGGGCUUGGGUCAUGGUUUAGUUAUUGGUUUUGGGCUGAUGGGGUCAUGUAACUGGGUUUGUUUUUUGGGUUUUGGGUCAAAGCUUGUAAAUGGACUGUGGACAUUUUUUGGUUUAAUAUUAUUUUUUGUUUUUUGUGUUGUAACGGGCCGGGCAAAAUUUGGGCCUUACAAUUAGUUAUUUAUAUUUGAUACUAAAUCUGUAAAUAAAUAACAAAUAAAAAAAUUAACUUUUAUUUAAAAAAUAUUAGAUCCUACUAAAAAAAUAUAAUUACAAAUUAACCUUAUAAACUCGAACUUGAUUUUUGCAGUAUAAAGCACAAUUCUUUUUUCUUUUCAAUAGAAAGCAAAAAAACUUCACCAGAAACCCAAAAUUUCACCAAAAACAUAUUUUUGGCCUAAGAAGGGGUGUAUAUAGUGGGUGAUGUCACCUCAUAGCGUCACGGGAUCGCUGGUGUUGCCUAACAUGUCGGCAGCACCACUAAUAGAUUAAUUUUUUUCUUGGUUUCCUUUUUUGUUUAAAUUGUAUUGGUGCGCUUGACACAUCAACAACACCCACUAAAAAAUAUUUUUUAAAUUUAUUAGUGAUGCCACCAGACACAUUGGCGACACUUAUUAAAAAAUAUUUUUUUGUCUUAGUUUCUUUUUCUUUUUUUUUAAUUUCACCGGUGCUGCUUGAUACACUGGCGACACCAUUAAAAAAAGUUUUCACUAGUAUACUUGUAUUUUCACUGUUAUUUUAGAAAAAUAUAUACCAAUGUCACCUGACAUAAUGGUAGCACUAAAUUUUUUUUUUAAAAAGCACAUGUGUAACACCCCUAACCCUAAACCAUUCCGGAAGAGGGUUAUGGAGCAUUACCGGAGUUUACAAAAUAAUUACACACAAUUCCAUUACUUUCUUAUGUUCAUUUCAAAACUGUCUUCUUGAGCAAUAUUCACUAAAAUAUUUCUAUCUGGAGCUAUGAAACUCCAAAUUAAGUUCCGUUAAUUUUCCUUAAAACUAGACUUAUAUACCUUUCUACCAUAAAAUUUUCAUAAUUUUUAGUUUAGCCAAUUAGUACAGUUUAUUUCUAAAAGUUUCCCCUGUUUCGCUGUCCAACAGUUCUGACGUCUCUUCACUAAAAAUUAUUUAUCUCAUAAUUCAGGACUCGGAUGAUGUUUCUGUCUAUCCCUCUUGAAAAUAGACUCGAUAAAUAUUUUAACUAUAUAAAUUAAAACUCAUAAUUAUUUUUGUAUAAUUUCUAAUGAUUUUCUAAAAUCAGAACAGAGGAUCUCGAAGUCAUUCAGACUCUGUCUCACAACAAUUUAAAUAUCUCAUAACAUAAAAUCCAAUUUCAUGCACCGUUUCCUCUAUAUGAAACUAGGCUCAUCAGGCUUUAAUCUCAUAUUUUAUUCAGCCCUUAAUUCAAUUUCCAAAAUUUAUGGUGAAUUUUAAAAGUUACACUACUGCAGUAACCCAAAACUGCCAAGGCCAUAUUUAUUCAUUCACCACUAUUAUUCACUAAAUCCAUACAAUAUCAUUUCAUCCUUACAUUUACAAUUUCAAAAUGACACACACAUAAGACAUCCUAGGUACAUGCCAUUACCAAUAAUUAACACACUUUACCUUAAUGAAUUCGGGAUCGAACUGGGAUGCUGAUUCAACGUUCUAUCUUUACUAAACCUGCGUACGGAAACAAACCGUAUGCUGAGUAUGGUAUACUCAGUGGUAUUUCCAUAAUCCGAACACUUAAUAAUACAAAAAUUAAACUUAAAAUCACAAUAACAAUUAUAAGUAUUCAUUUAUUUGUUUUAUAGAUAAAAUUCAUUUACUUACCAUAAAAAUUCUAUACAAGUCAUAUAACAAACACAAUAACAUAUUUGUUCAAUUCUUUUCAUUUACUUACCGUAUAAAUUCUAUACAAUAUAUUCACAAUUCACUUGUUUUCACACUUUACUUCUUAACAAUAUACCAUUUUAAUUCAUUCUAACAUCAAUCAUCAUCCAUUUGAACUUCACUCAUUUCAUGAACCUUUUGGUUCAUGUUUUCAAUCUCAUAUCUCAAUUUCAAUUCUCAAUUCAAUUUCUCAUUUCAUUCCAAUAGCUCAAUCAAUCAAAUUCACUCGACUUAUCUUUUCACUUAUUUACCCCUAUUAACAAGACUCGGACUCUGAUAGAUACGUGGAUUCCUCCCAAACACACCAGAAUAUCCAACCCAAACACACCCGGAAUAUUAUAAAUCCUCCAUAACACACCAGUAUAUCAUAUCCUCCCAAACACACCCAUAAGGCAUUAAAUGCCUCUUCAGAUAAACCGAAGUAUAUAAUAACAGAAACAUCUUCUCGGCCGAACUACAAAUCUCCUCAUCACAUCACAAACCCAAUGGCAUGCCAUUUGUAUCCAAUCUGGUCCGAUACUGUUAAUAGGAUAUUUGAUUCACUUUUUCAAUUUAAUAAAUCUUUCAUCAAUAUACCAUUCUAAUAAUCACGUAUUUUCACACAUUUUCACAAUUUCAUACAUUUUCAUUCAAUUCAACAAAUAUAUUUCAAUUAUUCACAUUAAUUCAUAAUCAAAUACAACUCAAUUCACUUUUCAAUAUCAAAUAUUCAAUUAUCACAAAUCUCAUAUAUUCAUAUCAAUUCCCUCAUAUUUCCAAUCAAUAUAAUUUUUCAGUAUAACAUUCAUUCAAUAUUCAAAUUUUUACAUAGAUCAUAUAUAUAUAUAUAUAUAUAUUAUAAUUUCAAUCAAUAUAAAUUCAAUCAAAAUGAUUUCAAUCAAUAUAAAUUUGAUAAAUUCAUCACAUACCAAAAUCAAUCCAUUUCAAUUGUAAAACAUCAUAAUUUUAACACUAACAAUUGUCAUAUGUAUAUAAAUAUAACAAAUAAUGACUGAGUUCGGAUUAUAGAAAUACAAACCGAAUUUUCUGAGCUUUUCCAAGCUUUUCCUCGUCGACUUUGCUAUUUCCUUACUUAGCCGAAACUUCUCGAGACAACAUUAGCUACGGGAAUUAAAACAAUUCAUAUUCGUUAAUUCACUACUAAUUUAUAUCUAAUUAAUACAAUUUUUAUUCAAUUUCUAUUUUAAUUUCAAUUUAAUCUUAACUAGAUUCACUUACUUUUUCUAUCUCAAUUCAUACUUCAUUUCUAUUCAAUUUUUAACCAAACUUAGACAUAAUUAUCUAUUUUUCAUCAUAAAACCAUAAUUUCGAAAUUCUUUCAAUUUAGUCCUUAAAGCAUAAAACUUAUGAACCACUUUACAAUUUAAUCCUUAUUUCAUUUCUAACUUGAAUUUCUAUCAAUUUAGCCCUUAAUUCAUCUUUUUAUUCAAAAAGAAUAAUAUCUAAAAAUCUAACAACUUUCAAAAUUUUCACUUAAAUCAAGUAGUAUUCAUCUCUAGGAUUCCAUAAACUCAAAAUUUACAAGAAAAUGGGCUAAAUUGACUUACCAAAUUAACUAUGAACCUUGAAACCCUAAAUUUUUCUUUUUCUUUUUCUUUCUUUCUUUCUCCCCUGUUUCUUCUCUGUUUCGUUUCCACAUUCUGUUUCUUUUCACUCUGUUUCUUUCCUUUAUUUCCUUUUUUAUUUACUUUACUUUUAAUAAUAAUAUAUAAUAUACUUAUAUAAUAAGCAAACAUAUAUGUCUAUUACAAGUGUAUGUAUAUCAUUGGUACACAUAAUUUUUUUUACCACACACUUGUCUUACUUUUAUUCAUUUUAUAAUAUAAUAUCAAUUUAAAUAAUAAUAACAAUAACAAUAAUAAUUAAAUAUAAAACUAUAAUAAAUAAUAAUUUAAUAUAUAUUUUAACACAUAAAAAUCUCAGAUUUUUAGGUUUAUGCCGCCUCACUUAGGAAAAAUGGCAUAAUUGCCAUUUUGGUCCUCUUCAUUUUCUUUUAAUCUACAAUUCAACUUUCAUCUUUUAUUCAAUUUAGUCAUUUUUCCUAAUUACUCUUAAUUAAGCUAAAUUUACUUAAUUAAACUUUAAUUAACCACUCAUUUUACUUCGUAAAUAUUUUUAUUAAAAAUAUUUACGAAUCCAUUUUUCAAAAACAGAGACCCUAAAAUACACUGUUUCAGUAACACUAAAAUUCGAGUUAUUACAACAUGAUUAAGCCACGAUUGCCUGAAAAGUGAAGGUGGUGCCACCGAUGUGUUAGGUAGUAUCAGCAGGUACUAUUAAAAAAAACUAAUUUUUGUAAGUAAAUUUUCCUCCAACCCAUUUUCAUAAUUAAUUAAUAUAUUUAUAUAAAAAAAGUCCACUGAUUUUAAUAAAAUGAGUUUUGUUUUAUGUUUUUGAACAUUAUUUCAUAAAUUUUCAAAAUCAAUUAAAAUAUUAAGCAAAUAAAAAACCAAUCAACCAAUGGCUUAAAUAAUAUUAUGUUCGAAAAAUAUUUUGAUAUAGUGUUUUGAAGUUAUUUUCACAGUUUUAAAUAUAAAAUAUUUAUUUUUACAUAAUAAAAAAUAAAAUUAAUUAUAAAUCAAACAAAAAAAUAGAAUCCAAUUCAAUUUGAAAAACCAUAAUAUUUUAACUUAUAUUUCAUAGACGGUCCAAACAUUUUGAUUCGAAUAAGUUUUUGGUUUCUUAAUUUUUCUUGAUCAUCAGAGAUUGUUGAUUCAAAUCAAAUCUAUUGAAUUCAAUGGAAACCAUUAUAUUUUGAUUAAAUUGGGAAUCGAGCAAAAUUAGAUCUUUAAAUAAGGGAAAGCUUUAAGAUGUUGUUUUCUCUAUUUACAAGACGUGCACUAGAUACUUUACUUAAAAGAAAUCAAACUCCUUAUCAUCCGAUCCAAUAAAUAAGUAAAGAAGAAGAUAAAGUUAAUAGCACGAAAAAGCCUUACCCAAAAAAGAUUCUUUCACUUUUACGAAUUAUCUCAAUUUCUUAGAAAUUUCAAAUAUUUUCAGCAUAACUUGACAACAACCAAAUUCCAUAAUAAAUGAAAAAGAAUCAAUAAAUAAACAUAAAAAGGGGGGAUUCAUAGAAUAUAGGAUAAACGUGCCCUUGAAGAAGCUGACAGGCUUGCAAAUGCAAAGGUCAACAACACAAAGCAUAUGUUAAAACCAGAUACAUUCACAAACGGGAAAAAUUCGAUCCAAUAGGGAAGUAACUCAUCGGAAUUGGUGGGCUUUUCUUAGCUUUGCUUUCCUUCAAUUUAGCCUUACUAGCAGUGUUAGCUUUGAUCGACGACGGUGAACCCUCCUCUACUUGAGAACCAGAGAAACAACUGAAGAAACUGAUCAAGAGAGCCAUGAAAAAAUUAGGGUUAGCUUGCACAACUUUGAGGACUGAUUCUUUUGCAAGAGCCGAGUAGUAGUAGUUGUUUGUUGGAACAUGAUAUUCUUGGUGGUCUGGUCUCUUUAUAUAAGCAGGCUGUUGGGUUGUAAGAGAGGAAAGGACAUGCAUGGAACCUGGACUGAUGUUGUAGCUUUCAGGUUGUUUUUGGUGUGUUCGAAGAAAGGACUAAGAAGGUAUGUGGCGUUUCAUGCAUGGUAACAAGCAUGAAAAAGAAAGGGUUAAGUUGAAAUUUCAACACAGUGCUCAUAGUUGACUAUUAUCAUCUUUGUAAUUAAGUUAGUAGCCAAUGUAAACCAUUUCAAAUUAAAUGACGUGUACUUUUGGGGAUGUUACGUAUAUGAAAAAAAAAUUGUCACACAAAUAUUUACUGAAAUACCAUGAUAAAAAAAUUUUCAGUAUUCCGUAAAUCAAUGAAGAGUACAGGAGAAAAUACUCUUAGAACAAUAAAACUCAAAACUCGUAUACAAAUUUUUUUAAAAGAGUUCAAUUGGAAAAAUAUAACAGAGUUUUACUGGAAAACCUAAUUUAUAAAGGAAUACGCCACCACGAGUGAUAAUUGUUAGAUAAAAUAGUUCAAUUAACUAGAAAAAUAGAUAGCAUCCUUAAAAUUUUCGGUUAAUCGAUUGAUUAAUUGAAAUAUUUCGGUUUGAUUAAUUUUUUUGCAAAAAUUUCGGUUCAGUUAACAGUUAAAGAAUUAAAAAGUUCGGUUAAUUCGGUUAAUACUAAUUCAGUUAACUAUUUGAACACCCUUACGUCUGACACACCGGCGGUACUCAUUUAAAAGAACUUUUUAAAAUUUAUCAGUGGUGCAACCUAACAUGCCGGUGGCACUCAUUAAUUUUUUUUUUUUGUCCUAGCUUUUUCUUUUUUCUGACUUUUUUUUAUUUAACCGGUGUCACCUGACACCCUAACAACACCAUUAAAAAAUAAUUUUUUAUUUUAUUUUUUUUCACCGGUAUACCUAUAUUUUUAUUGGCAUUUUGGAUAAAUACAUACCAGUGCCGCUUGACAGUAGCGAUACAAAAAAAUUCUUUUUUUUUUUAAAUCACAUGAUUGAGCCAUGAUUGCAUGAAAAGGGAGGGUGGUGCCUCUAAUGUGUCAGGCAGCAUUGACAAGUACUGUUAAAAAUAACUCAUUUUUAUAAAUAAUAUUCUCCCAACCCACAUUCGUAAUUAACUAAUAAUUUUAUAUUAUUUAUAUAAAAAACUUAUUUAAAUAAAAUAACUUUUGUUUUAUAUUUUUGGAUAAAGUUUCAAAAUCAAUAAAAGAUAUUAAACAAAUAAAAAAAAAACAAUCAAUGACUUAUAUAGUGUUUGAAAAAUAUUUUGAUACAGUGUUUUAAACUUAUUUUCACAGUGUUAUAUAUAACACAUUUAUUUUUACAUCAUAAAAAUUAAAAUUAAUUAUAAAUCAAAUAAAAAAUAGAAUCCAAUUCAAUUUGAAAAAUAUAAAUUUUUAACUGAUAUUACAUAGAUAGUCCAAACACUUCGAUUCAGAUAACUUUUUAGUUUUUCGAUUUUUCUUGAUCAUCAGACAUUGCUGGUUCAAAUGAAAUCUCUUGAGUUCAAUGAAAAUUAUUAUAUUUUGUCUGAAAUUUGUUGGUAUUCAAUAGUCAUAUUGUAUUCUGGCUAAAUUGUGAAUCGAACAAAAUUAGAUCUUUAAACGAGAGAAAGCUUUAGGAUGUUGUUUUCUUUAUUCACAAAACGUAAAUUAGAGACUUUAUUUAAAAGGGAAUCAAACUCUUUACCAUUCGAUCCAAUAUAUAAGAACCGAAAAAGAUAGAGUUAAUAGCAAGAAAAAGCCUUGCCCAAUAAAAAAAAAGGCAAAAAUUACUGUAUAUUCCUUUCAAAUUUUGUGAAAUUUCUAAUUAAUACAAAGAUUUUUUAGAUUUUUCCAACAACAAUAUUAGAGCAAGCUGGGCCUUUUACCCUUUUGUUUUUGCUGCUUGAGUUUAUAAGCUUUUGGGCUGUUUUAUUUUUGAAAUAUUAAUUAUAAUUUCAUUUUAAUUAUAUUGAAAUUUAUUAUUUAAAUAUUUUAUAUAAAUAGAUUUAGAAUUAAACUAAAAGAAUUAUGAGAAAUUUCUUAGAAAUUAUAAACAUAACUUGAAAAUUAUAUUGAUUAUAAUUUCAUUUUACGAAUUAUCUCAAUUUCUUAGAAAUUUCAAUUAUUUUCAAGAUAACUUGGCAGUAACACAAAUUAUAACACAAAUUGCUUAUUAAUGGAAAAAAAUCAAAAAUCAAUAAAUAGCCAUAAAAAGCGGGGGGGGGGGGGGGUUCAUAGAGUAUAGGAUAAAGGUGCCCUUGGAAAAGCUGAUAUUCACAAACGAGAAAAAUUCGAUCCAAUAGGGAAGUAACUCAUCGGAAUUGGUGGGCUUUUCUUAGCUUUGCUUUCCUUCAAUUUAGCAUUACUAGCAGUGUUAGCUUUGAUCGACGACGGUGAAACCUUCUGUAGUUGAGAACCAGAGAAACAACUGAAUAAACUAAUCAAGAGAGCCAUGAAAAAAUUAGGGUUAGCUUGCACAACUUUGAGGACUGAUUCUUUUGCAAGAGACAAGUACUAGUAGUUGUUUGUUGGUGGUCUGGUCGCUUUAUAUAAGCAGGCUGUUGGGUUGUUAGAGAGGAAAGGACAUGCGUGGAACCUGGACUGAUGUUGUAGCUUUCAGGUUGUUCUUGGUGUCUUCGAGGAAGGUGUGUGGUGUUUCAUGGGUGGUGAACAAGCAUGAAAAAGAAAAGGUUAAGUUGAAAUUUCAACACAGUGCUCAUAGUUGACUAUUAUCAUCUUCGUAAUUAAGUUAGCAGCUUAUGUAAACCAUUUCAAAUUCAAUGACGUGUACAUAUAUAAAAUUAUAAAAUUUUGGAGGGGUAAGUUAAAAAAUUUGUUUUGUGUUAUGUUGUGUUUAGUGUCACGCGACUAAAAUUUAAAUCUUGUAAACUCCGCAAUUUUAGCUAGAAACUUAGCUUCAAAUAUGCAGAAGUUAACUUAAUUUUCGAAAGUGAGAAUUCACAAAAAAAAUUCUUCAAGUCAUCAAAAUAAAGCGGAAGCAAAAUCAAAGUGGAAAAGUAACGAAAGAACCAAAAAAGCCAUAAGAACUUUGAAUGAAAUGUUUACAAAUGAGGGAGAACGCCUCGAUUUAAAGUUGAACUCCCCUAAAUCUAACAAUACUGUUUAAAUUACAUCAACGAUCAAAACUAAAGUCUAUUUAUAAGAUAAGAGUCUUAAGCGAUUUAAACUCUAUAUAAUAUUAUCCUAUAGGAUUUACAAUAUUCACCAUGGUAACUCUAGUUUUACUAAUUUAGUGUUCCAUUAGACCACCAACGCUUCAAAUAGAUAGGUUUCUCUAUAUAUUUUACAAAUCGAACCAGUUCAAAUGAGUCGAUUGACCUCCAUUUAAUCGUUAAGCUUUAUUGGAUGUUCUGUGUCCUUUGAUUCGUGGUCCAUGGCAUUAGGGCUAUCUUACUUUGUUUUGAUUUUCUUGUGUUAAUAAAAUGAUAAUUUUUUUAUUAGUCAAUAUACUCUGCAUAAGUCGUGGAUUUAGUCAUUGUAGUUUAAUUUGGUCAAUUUUAAUUCUUAUACUUUUUUGAAUUUUGAAAUUUAAAUCCUAACCCAAACCGUAACAGUUAAAUGGUUAAACUCUACUAUUAGUCAUAUAAUAUGUUUGUAGAUUUUAUCCGUGUUUUCUAAUUACACCAUUAUUAAUAUCUAUAUUUUUUGAAUUUUGAAAUUUCAUUCUUAGCAGGGCAAAGGGAGGGGCCGGACAUCGGCCACCCAAAAUUGAAAAUUUUUGUUUUAGACCCUGUAAAUUUUAUAAAUUUAUAAAUUAAUUCACGAUAAAAUUAUAGUUUAGCUCCCCAAAAUAAUAAAAUCUUGAUUUAGUCUCUCAAAAAAUUUUGAAAAUAUAAAUCAAUAUAAUGGUGAAAUCGUAUUUAGCUCUCAUCAAAAUAUAUAACAUAAUGCCGCCUCCAGAAAAAUUUUCUAACUUCACCCUGAUUCUUAAUCUUUAUACUUUUUCAAUUGAAUCAUUUCAUUUGAUGAUUAAUUUAAUUGAAUAAAUUAAGUAAAGUUAAUUUGAUUCGAUUAAAUCAGUAACUAAUUAACGAUUGAUUGAACCGAAUAUUCAUUGGUUUAACUAAAGUUAUAAUUUGCACUUAACACUCGUUCUUAAUGAAAAAAUAUAGCGACACAUUUGAGUAAUAAAAAUAAUUUUUCCAAAUAUCAAUAAUAAUGAAAUUUCUUACAAAAGAAUACACUAAACUCACUAAACUAACAGUAGAUUUCCUGAACAAACAUUAUUAACCUUGUCGAAGAUGAAAACAAAUUAAUACAAUUCUCAAAAUAAAAAACAAAGAGUUGAUUAAAUACAGAGAAAACGUGCUCUUAAAGAAGCUGACAUGCAUGUAAGCAUAUGUUUCAACUCCAACAUCGGACUUGAGACCAAUCUGUCUCGGGACAUGAGCGUUUAAAGUAGGGAUUCCAACUUAUACUACUUCAACCAACAGCUUUCAUAACAGGGAAAGUUUUGAUCCGAUAGGGAAGUAAGUAAUGGGAAUAGGAGGGUUGUUCUUAGCCUUGCCUUCCUUCAGUUUAGCAUCACUACCUGCUUUAAUAAUGGUCGAUGAUGAUGGUUGAGUGUCUUCUCCUUGGGAAGCUAGCUUAUUAGAACCAGAGAAGAAACAAGUGAAGAAACUGGUUGAAAAGAAAGCCAUUGAAAAAAGAUUAGGGUUUACUGAGCAGUGUUUUUUAUUUUGCUGUGUUGUUGGAUAUGUUAUUGUUGGUGGUGUCUUAUAUAAGCAGGGUGUUGGGUGGCGGUUAGGAAGGAGAGAGGAAAAGUGGAUAUAAAAUGAUGCAUGGAUCCUGGACUGUUGAAGUAGCUUUCAGGUGCCUUCUUGGAAACAAAGGCUGUGGUGUUUUUUUCAUGAGUGUCCAACAAGCAAAAGAGGAAGAAAGGGUCAAAGUUAAAAAUUCAGCAGAGUUCAUUGUUUUGACUAACUAUGAUCUUCAUUAUUAAGCUGUUCGUUAUUUUAGGGUUUAGUUGAUGUCUUUUUCAAAUAAUUAUCAAAUUAAUAAAGUAUAAACAGAUCAAAAAUUAGAAUAAUCAAAAUUAAAACUCUCACAUAACAAUCGUUUAAGUAUAUAGAUGAGUGUAAGGAAUCCCAACAAAAACUUUGAGUAGAAUCAUUUAAAGUCUAAACUUUUAACUCGAUUCUUCAAGUGAAUCAUUUCAAAUUUCAAUCAUUUCAAACAAAUUUGAAUGAAAAUGAAUUAAAAUCAAUUCGAAUACAAAUUGUUAACCUUUUAUAACUAAAUCGAAUUAAAACUAAUAUAACCAUUGAUUUGUCUUCUCACCUUAUAACCUCUUGCAAUUCAUUCAAGAAUCAUAUCUUCAAAUUUGAGCUACAAUGUUAUUUCUUGAUUCAUCAUUUUCCACUAAUCAAAAUAUCUUAACUAAAAGCAUAGAAAUACCAUUAGGAAUCAGUGAUAAAGUUAGUUUCAGACAUUAAAUUUACAGAAAAACAAAGGUUCCAAGUUCAGACAGUUAAAAUAACUGUCAUCGUAAAGGGCAAAGCAUUUACUCAAGCAAACACCAUAUAGAAUUUACACCUUUUCUUUUAGCUAUAUAUACAUAAGCUUCUUUCUGCAUUGCAUUGAAUCAAGCUAAAAGUAAAGGGGAACCAAAUGUGUUUUCUCCACUGUAAGUCAUGUAAAGAAAACCAUCUUCAUCCCUGUUUUCCUCGUAAAUAGCGGACAUCAAGGCGGCUGCGUCGAAAAUAAAGAAACAAAUAAGCCUCACAACUAGAACCCAAAAAAAAUGGGUAAAAGUAACCAUAGCACCCCUCCAAUAGGAGUCGGAUCAAAGAGCAAAUUGAUAUUUUCUGUUAAAAACUGACGUAGUUGACAGAAAACCCAAACAAUUAUAUGUGACGUGCCAUGUGCAUCUCUUGAUACAUGGACCAACUUUUAACAGUAAAAAUGAAUGGAACUUUUAACAAAAAGAUCAAUUUGCUCAUUGAUCUAACAUAUAAGGACUAAUUAGCCCAUUUUUUGAGUAGAGGGGUCAAAAUGCUAUCCGACUCCUAGUACAAGAACUUCAAUGGUACUUUUACCCAAAACAAAAAAUGAUUUGAGUUAUACAAUACUUGGAGCUAUAACGUGUUCAUAUAACUCACCAGUAGGUGGGAGAGUGUUCUUCACAAAGACAAAUAUAGCUUUCUCGGCACUAAGCUUAAUCCUUUUACGAACAACAUAAACAAACUGCCCCACAGUCAAAUCAGCAGGAACGAGAUACCUGAAGCCAUGAUCGAAGAAGAAUAUUGAGAAAAAGAACAUUGACCGGGAUAAGAGUAGGUUUAUCUUGCUCAAUUCUCGAGAACUCGUUAACAUUGAUGAUCCAAGCAGAUAAUAGACACGAGAUAUCGUUCACUAGAAAGUGAGUUUGGCAAGUACAUAUCAUACUACAACGAGAGAUUUCAAUAUAAAGAAGGGAAAAUGCUACUAACUUCUUUUUGUCAAUAUCGGGAAUGUCACUUCGUUCGGCUUUCUCGACGAUGACCUGCAUUGAUUACUCAUUAGCAUUCAAGAACAUUAAGAGACUAAUAUGGGAUAAAGAAAUCAGCAGAAUGGGAAGAUGGUAACUCAAAUAUUCUUACGGGAAUUCUGUCGGGAUACUUUUCCCUGAUUCGACCAGCUUCAGCCUGUCUCCUUUCUGAGAAAGGGAAAUUUUCGAAAGGGGUGAAUGAGUACUUACCGAAAUUUUCUUCGAUUAAAUCGGAUCAAAGAAUAGGAGAAACAUGACAAAACAAGGAAGAUGCAGUAACUAGACUCAAAAUAGGCGAGACAAAUUACGACCAGCCAACCGACAAGACAAGGCUUAAGGAAAUGAGAGUAUCCUGCUGGUUGGUCGAACCAUGGUAGCAGAAAAGGUCUCCUAUAUGAUGGAGGUCCCGAGUUAAAAGGCUAGGAAGGCACACCUUUGGGUGACAAAGCCGAUGGUCAUUCAAAAACAACCCAAUCAAACUACCCCCAAAUUGAUCCAAUUGAGCCAAUCAAACUACUCUUCCUAAAAUUGAAAUCUAGUCCCUAUACUUCUAUUUCUAGGAAUUCAGUUCCUCUAGUUUUCCAAUUGUUAACACUACAAAAAUUAUUCUGUUAAAUUUACAUUCAUUACAAUAUUAUUUUCCUAGUUUUUUAUUCCAAAAUGUCACACCAACAAAUUUAACCAAAAAAAAUUUAAAAUAUCUUAACAAUUGAACCUGAAUUUUAAAAUUUGAAAAGUAGAGACUAAAUUCUUAGAAAUAAAGGUAAAUAGGCUAAUUUCCAAAUUUGAGAAGAGUACAGGGACUGAUGGCAUAUUUUAACCAAAAGUAUACCAAUUUUCUAAAUUUUCCAGACAAUGUUCGAAGAUAACAGAUAAAGAAUAAGAAUCAAUAAUAAUUAUAUCCUUUUGGAUCAAUUUUACAAAUCAAAAAGAUAAAACAAAGAAUACCCAAAGCAAAUCUAAUAGCUACAAUCAAGCAGAAAAUUCGACAUUCAUAAAAGGGGAAAACAGAAAAGAUUAGGGGAAUCAAGGAAGCUAACCCAAAGGAUGUUCAAGCUUGAAGGAACUUUUCGCCAUUGCAAAAUUUAACACCUGAUUAUAUAUUCACUGUGAAUUAGGGUUUCUAAAUUAGAGAAAAAGGAAAAGAAAAGGCGAAAACAUAUGUAUGAAAGUAAAAAAUUGUCCAAAAUAGCUUUCAGAAAAGAAAAAAAAAAUACCCAACACGGAAACAACAAGGAAAAAGCUUCAAGAAAUUAGGGUUUCAAUAUUGAUUGAUUGAUCGCUCAAGAGGAAAAAAAAAGGAUCGGUUUCAACUUUCAAGCAAAGAAAUUUAUAAGAAAAAUUCAGAAUUUAUAUAAUGAAGGGGAGAUUUUUGAGGCAACAACAAGAAAACCUUCAAAUGGUUUUACUUAAAUUCGAGGCGAAAACACGAAACCAAAAAGCUUAAGGGGGAAUUUGUGAAUCGAAUUAUUCAUUGGUGAAAUUUCCCUAUUUGUUGCCCUUGCCCCGGUUACAAGGAAUCUAAUUCAACAAAUUUUGCUAUUAGUCCAUGUAGUAUGUAUAAAUUAUGUAUAUAGUCCCUAUACUUUAAAUUGACCAAAUUUAAUCUCUAUACUUAUGGAAUUGAUCAACUUUAGUCCUUGCAUAUUCUUUGAACUUUAAAAUUUCUAUUCUAACCCAAUCGGUAGCAAUUAAAUAUGUUUGAUUAAAUUUUUCUAUUAAUAUUAUACAAUGCUUGAAGUUGUAGAUUUAGUUUAUAUUCUCCAAUUUGAUCAUUUGUGUUUUUUAUCAAUGAUGUUUAAACCAAUUUGAACCGAUCAGUUGGGCCAAUUGGAUCGAAAACAAAUCGGGUUAUCAGUUCAAAAAUAGCCAUUACAUUAGUUGACCCAAGAAUCAAUAAGGGUCGAUUGAAUCAAGCAAAAAAAGAUUGAACUGGUUGAAACGAAAUUUUUUAUUUUUUUAAUAAUUUAUUUAAUUGAACCAGAUGGGUUGGUUGGAUCGAUAAAUCGGUGACCUAACUGGGUCGAUCAGUGUUUGGUUUUAAAAACCUUGUUUUUUUAUACCUUUCAAUUUUGAAAAUUUAGUCUUCAUAUAAACAGGGUGAAUCCAAAAAAAUUUUUAGGGGCAGAAUUAAAUUAUAAAAGUUUGAGAGGUCAAAAUACAAUUUUAUCAUGUAUUAAUUUAUUAUUACAUUAUUUUUUAAAGGAUUUAACAAGUUUUUUUUAGUCAAAGUGCAGUUUGACCAUAUAUUUAUUUAUCAUUUAAACAUUUAUUAAGGGUUUCCAUAACAAUUUUUUUUCAUUUUUAAGGGGCCUUCAGUUCGUCCUUGGAUACAAAUGAAGUCAUCAAUUUCGUUAGCUGACGAUUUUUUGUUAAUAAUAUGUGGAAUAACAAAUUAAUAUGACAUUGUACAUGUGAUAAUAUAUCUGUCUUAUACAAUUUUAAAAAUAAUAAAAUUUAAUUUUAUGAAUUUAGUAGCUACCGUUUAGUCAGGUAUGGACUUUAAUCAUAAUUUAUGCAUAACAUAAGGAGUAACGAAAAAAUUUAACCUAAUCUAAUUGGGACUGCUCAGCUAAAGUAAUAAAGUAAGCUUAAGUUAGUUUAGAUAUCUUUUUAAUUAGGAAUAAAUAUGAAAACUAAACAUAAACUUUAAUUUUUUAUAAUGUUAUACAUAAAACUUUUAUUUAAUUCGAUUUUCAUAAAUUAGCACAAUUUACGUUGAUAUAUUACAUACAUAAACAAUUAUAUUGGUCUAAUAUGAAAAUAAAUGUGUAUGUAUAAACCAUAAUUCAAGUUUCAUAUAUAUAAUUAUACCAAAUCAAAGUUCAUGUAUUAAAUUGUAUAUUAGAUCAAAAUUCAUAUAUAAAUUUGAUAUUUCUCCUUUAUGAUUAUCAUUGAAGUUUGGGCUCCAAUGGGCUGCCAUAAACAAUAAUAAAGGGGGUUGGUUUAGAAUUUGAUGGGCUUUCUUACUAGUUGAUAAGAUUUAUAGCAAAUAAACUUGGAUUUAAACAUGUGACUGUAAUUUUAGGUAUAAUAUUUGGGUUCAUGGAGUUCGGAUUAUUUUUUAUUCGGGUUUUAAAUUUGGAUCGGAUUAUUCGGAUUUUGAUCACUUUAUAUUCAAAUAAUUUCGAUUUAGGUUAUUUUUUGUUUUGAUCAUUUUAGUUUGAAUCGUGUUCAUGUUUAACGGAUUAAAGUUAUUACUUUUAAAGUUAUUGUCAACCCUAUAAAAGAAUAAAUAAUUAAAACUCUUGUAUUUUUUUAUUAAAAAGACCCCAAAAAUAAAUUUUAUGUGUUGGCUUGAUGGUCAAAGUGUUCACUUCCCUAAGUGAGGUCUGAGUUCAAAUCAUGUUGCGAUUAGGGCUUCACCCUUUUAUUGUAAUUCCCAAAAAAUUCUUUCUCAUUUAUAUUAAUUGCUAGUCCAAAUUUUGAAAGGAUUUAAAUAAAAAUAUAAUGUCUGUUUAAAGUUUAAGUCGGGCUCGAACAUUCAAAGCUCAAGUCCAAUUCAACCGUAUCCGUUUUCUAUGUUUAUAAUAUAUUUUAUUAUGUUAUAUAUAUUAGAUCAUUUAUAAAAAAAUAAAAAUUAAAUCUACGGUAAUAUAUAAUACAAUAAUUUAAAUAUUAAAGAAUUUAGUCUUUAUACUUUUUAAAUUGGUCUAUUCUAGUCAUUGUACUUUUGAGUUUGAGUAUUGGUACAAGUAGCAAUUAAAAUCAUUUGAUUGAAUUCAAUUAUUAGCUAUGUAUAAUGCGUACAAUUUUAUAUUUUAUCCAUAUUCUUCAAUUGGAUCAUUCUGAGUUUUUAUUUUUUUAAAAAUCUGAAAUUUCAAGCUUAACGCAAAUGACAGCUAUUAAUCUAUCAUCUAGAUUUUUAGUGAAUAAUAAGUAGAAAUAACAAGCUGACAUGAUAUUACACAAUAUGAUAAUAUGUUUUUUGGUGCAUCAAAAUUUUAAAAUAAUAAAACUUAAUAAAUUUAACAAUUAUCGUUUGAUGAUUAUCGAAUUUUUAAAAAUUUAAAAAAUAUAAAAAUUAAAAAUAACCAAAUCAAAAUAUAUAAAUUAAAUCAAUAACUUUUACUUUUGAGCACUCUUUUGUGUUUAUUAACUUGCUUUCAUAAAUUGUGCCGUGAUCUUCAAGUAUCAAUGAUGUGAAAAAAGUACCACUAGCCUACUACCUUAGUUCAAUGGUCAUCAUUUACUCAUCCCCGAAAAUGAUGGUUAAUUCACUCGUUUGCAAUAUAUUCUAUUACCGAGGUUUAAAAAGAUAGUAUAUAAUUUAGGGUUUUUUUAACUACGAAAGAUAACACGAUAAAUAAAUUUUCAGAGUCUUACAUAAAAAUAAUUAUUAAAGUAGGGAUAGGUCAUUGAAUGAGUUGGUAUACUUGGGAUUCUUUUUUUUUUUUUCUUUUUAUGAUUAAGGAAUCUAUUGUUAAUAGUAAUCAUAUUCAUAGGUGCUCUCUAAAAUAGUAAAUUACUAGACAUUAAAUGUCUAUCAUUCUCAUGAAUAAGAAUUGAAUUUCCGACUAUAUGAUUAAAGAAAAAAAAACCGUAUUCCACGCUUUAAACCUUUUAUAUUGCCACAUGAGUAAGCUAUAAGAAAAGGUAUUAACUAGAUGUAAAUAAAGCGCAAUAUGUAAAUAUACGAUUUUGUAUGUGAAUAUAUAUAUUUAGAAUUUAGAGUUUAGAUUUAUAGAUUAAUAUAUAUAAUAAAAUUUAAAGUGUAGUUUAGUUUAUCUAAAAUAAAUGCAUUUCUUUUAUUAAGGUCAAUGGUUUCUUUGUAUGAUUUCUUUAUAUUUAUUAUAUAUAUUAUCUUAAACUUUGCAAAGAAUGUUAAAAGAAAAAUAUUUUUAUUUUAAAAGUCUGAGCUCUUGUCUCAUCAAAUGGUGAAAAUGUGUAACACACUUUGUUAGCUAUACCUAAGGCAGUAGGUGUACACCUUAAAAUAUUCCUUUCUUAAAAAAAUUCCUAUUUCAUUUCCUUUUUGCUUUUGCUAAUUAAGUCUUAAUUCGAUUAAUAUUAAUAUUAUUGUCAAUACAAGAGGAUAUGAGUUCGAGUGUGUUAAAGCGUGUUAUCCUUCUAUUUAAGGAUUAUGGAAAGACUAUACCUAGCUCUAGGCAUUAUAUUAAAAAGAGCAAAUAUAAUAAUAAUAAUAAUAUAUAAUGAGAUAGACGCUAACCACGAGUUUUAUUAAAAUAAUAUUUAAUGCAUUAUCAGUAUAUAAAUUGUUAAGUACGAGUCUUGUUUCAGUCAAAUUUAAAAAAUAAUCUUCAAAUUAAACUCUAAUGAUUUGUUUCAAUCAAACUCUAAUUAGUAUUGACUUAUGAAUUUAGCCUAUAAAUAGGCUCUUUUACAAUAUUAGAAAAUACACCCAUUAGAGACAUUAAAACUCAUAACACAUUUAGUUUUUAUCCCCAUCUUUUGUACUUUUCAUUCUUUUGCUAUUAUAGUAAAAUUAUCUUUGCCCAUAAUUUUUUAUCAUUUUUAGAAGAGUUUUUUCACGUUAAAUUUGUGUGUUCAAUUUUUUAAUUUCUUCUAUUAUUUUUACUUAUUCAUUACUUAAUCGGAUCGAUCGCCAACAUAAAUCUCAUAUGCCAUCCAUAAACAAUAAAUCACACUCAUUAAAUAAUAUUUGAUUCACCAUAAUUCUAAACUUCAGUGGGCUAGUAGGUAAGCAUAUACCAUCAAACAAGACAUUGAUAGAAUAUGAGCGGCAAAUUUGUUGUUGUAUUAAAGGCAUCUAGUAAGUGGUGGUAGCCAACCAAAGUUUAUCAUUAAACAAUUGGAAAUUUGAUAAUUAAGUGCCUUAUAUUUCUAUUUCUUUUUCCAGAUUUUGGCCAUAUUUUGACAGAAUCAAUUACGAUAAAGUCUAAGUAUGAUAUUAAUAUAUUUUAUAUUUAUUUCAAUUAGUACAAUUCGAAAUAUGUAUUUAAAUUUUUUUUCCAAAUCCACUUAUAUUUAUAAAUAUAUUAUUUUUGAAUUUAAUAUUUUAGAUGAUUUUUCAUUUAUUGGCAAUUUAAAUUUAGACAACUUAAAUUUUUUAAACAUUUACUAGUAUUACAUUAAUAUAUAUUUAAUUUUAUGCGAUAUGAAAAUAAAAUAAAAAUAUAUUACAACGAUAUAAAAUAGGACUAGUUGGAUUAGACUCAAGCCUUAAAUGUUAAAUCCAGACUCAACUUAUAUUUUAAACGUAUCUAAUUUUUUUGCUCAAAUUCAUUUUUCAAACUUCGUAUUAUUGUUCAAACCUUCUCAUAUUUUGAACAACCCUUUGAGCGUAAAUAAAUAACUUGAUUCAUAAACAGGUUUAAUACAUAAUGUAAAGGGGCAUGUGGACAAUUGCAAUUUUACCCCCUAUAAUUAUUAAAUUAUAAAUUUAAAUAUAGUAAAAUUACACUUUGACCUCUCAAAAUUUAUCUAAAAUCCCCCUAUUAACAUAAUAUGAUAUUAGAUAUAGCAUCACAUAUAGAGAGUUAUAUUGAACAUAGAUUGAUGCACAAAUAAUUUCAAGAAUCAAAAAGUGAUGGAACAUGUUUUGUUCACUGCUUUUAUUAGGGGGGUAAAUGCUUCAAGCAUAUAUUCACCAUGAGGGGUCUGUCAGUAAAAUGAUCAGAGAACAGUCUUAUAAAAGACAAAUUAUUUAAAUUUUAGGGUCCCAUGGCUCAAUCUUUAUCAUUUAUUUUGUGUCUUACACAUGCUCUUCUUUUUGUUUAUACAUAUUAAACAUAGAUACUUAUAUCAUGUUAAAAUUCCCAGAAUCUUCAGAGAAUAUAUCAUGUCAUCAAUGAUGCAAUGUGCUAUUAAGUUUUAAGGACCUAAAUAAAAUUUUCAAAUAUUUAGAGGGUUAAUUAGAACUUUUAAAACUUUUGAAAGGCUCAAUUAAAUUUCCUAAAAAAUUGGAGGGGACUAAAUUUUAAAGGAUAUGAAUUUGUCAAUUUUGAUCCAAAUAAUUUAUCUGAAUUUGAUUCAAUUCAGAAUUAAAUCUGAAAUAAUCCAAACUCAAUAAUAAUUCAAAAAUUUUAAAACUUGAUUCGUACUUAGCCCAAAUUGGUAUCCUUAUCGAUUUCCAUGUUUAUAGUUUGAAGUACUAGAGUUGUACAGUUACAGAUGAGUACAUCUUUCGACGUAUAUUAAUGUAAAAUUAAAAUAAUUUUAUAAUUUUUUUACUAUUAAUAUUUUAAUUUAUCAAUAUAAUUAUAUUUCUUAAACAUAUAAAUUUUAGAACAGAUAUUAUUAUAGCAAUUUAAAAUAUAGUUUUUAUUAAUAUAUUUAACAUUAAAAGUAUUUUUUGUAAAUGAAAUAUGGAACAUGAUUGGUCAAAAUAUAUAAACUACGUUAAGUACAGGUUACUGAAACAAGCUAAGUCGAUGGCUUGAACCACCCUAACUUAGACCGUUGAAUUAGGACCUCUUUUUUUUUUUUUUUUGGGUGGGCAGCAGCUUGAGUCUUGCUUGAGCUAGAAAACCCUAAAAUCAACUUUACUACCUUCACCGCGAGGGACUCAACUAAAAUUUUUAAAAAUUUUGAUGACCUAAUUAGAUUUAAUGAGGCCAGACCUUCCUCAGGUUCAAUGACCGUUUGCCUCUUACAUCUCAUUAUAAAUUCUGAUCAUGUCUGUUAUUUUUGACACGAUACUUCACGCAUUCGAACACACGUAUCCUACAUUGACAGUAAUGUCUAUACGUUAUUGAUAUAUAUACUAUAGAAAAUGAAGAUCAAGCAUUGGACCACGGCCUCUAAAAUUAAUACCAACAUUUAGGAUAUCAUAUAGUAUUUAGCAUUUUCUAAGGUUAUUAGUUGCAAAAAUUAUGUGCCCUACACAUUGGAACAUUCUAUAUGGGCUAUAUAUCUUAUAUGGUUUUAUAUACAAGGGUUUUGCUAACUUACUUUUUGAUUUAUAAUAAUAAAUUAAAUAAUAUUACUUUCAAUCUUUGGUUCUUAAAUGCGACAUCUCUUUCCCAGAGAUAUGGUUUAGUAAAUAGACACAAAACCUAAAAGAAAAUUUAAGUUCACCAACCGAGGACUUUAUUACAAAGCUUCCCCUUUUUUUUAAAUUCAAAUAAUAUUAGUGGAAUUUCGGACUAAUUUGUGCAUAUGAUUUUGUUUUUUUAAUUGUUCAAAUAAUUUUUUUUUAAGAUUUAGAGAAAUAGGUUAAUUUUAAGAAGAGAGUGUGAAAGUAUGUUUAGCUGGACGAGCUUUUACUGAUAUAUCAGAAAAGUGUGUUUAAUUAGAAACAUUUUUUGAAAAUUCUGAAAAAAAUGUGUCUUGCUAGGCGCACUUUCCCUGACAUAUCAAUAAAAGAAUUUUUUGACAACUAUGCGGAAAGCUUGCUUAACUGGACAUACUUUUUAUACUUUUUCUUUAAAAUCAACCAAUCUCUUUAAAUCUUAAAUAAAUAGCGAGAAUUUUUUUAGAUUGAAAUGCCAAAAUUUUACUUAAAAAUAGGGGCAAAGGAAGGGACGUGACGUUGACCUUACCCUCCAAAAAAUUUUUAAAAAAAAAGGUCUCUAUUGGUAUUUUUAAUUUUUAAAAGUUAUAAAUUAAUAUAAUAAUAAAAAUAUAUUUUAGCGCUUCAGAUUUCUUUCAUAUAUCCCACCUCAUAAUUAAUACAAAAAAUUGAAAACCUUGAUUAAAACCUUUAUAUUUAAUAUACCAACCUCCCUUUUGCUCUUUGGGUUGGUGCCAAUAUUCAAUGCUUACCAUACCCUUCUCAUGUCCCCUCUCUCUCUCUCUCAUUCAUUUAUGAGAAUCUCUUAAAUUCACUCUACCAAAGAGCAUAAUAUCCCCACCUCUUCCUCUAUUAAUGCGUCUUCUCUUCAUUACCCUAUAACCUAUUCUUCUUUCACGAGUCUUAAAACCCUUUCUUCUUCACAUGUUCUAUGAUCAUCACUUCAAGUUGAAGGUAAGCUUACUUCACCAUUGUUAUGAAACUCAUGUAUUGAUUUUGAGUGCGAUCGAGAUAUUGGUGCGGUUCAAUCAGAUAGAACUUCACUCUUUAAAAAAAAAAAAAGGAAACAAUAGAGUUGUGUUUUAUUUGAUUGAGCCGUGCCAAUAUCACGCACAGUAACUCAUGGUUUCUGUCAAAGGGACGUCAUUAUAUAAGUCAGUAUCGGAUUCUCAGUGAGGUAUUGUUCUAAGGAUGUCUAUGUCUAUAUAGUAUGACAUGAGUUUGAGGUAAACCAAAGUUAAUACCGAACAUUACCUCCAUUGAGGGUACGAGACUCUCCCAUUGAGCGAGCUACCCUCAGCAGGUAUAUAUACACACCCUUUUUUCUCUUAAACCUGCAAUGGAUUAUUAGGUUAUUAGACUCUCUUUUUUGGCCAUAUAUGCAAAAUGAUUAUAAUCUAAACCCUCUCUCUUUUGAUUAGAUUUUGAAUAUGCAGGCUUUAUAUUGUGUAGUAUAUGUAUAUAUAUCAUGUGUAGAGUUGCAUGCAGAGCUUUCAUGGUGGUUUUAAGUGGGGGUGCAUCAUACCUCAAGGAGAAAAAAGGACCAUUUCAAAGUUACUGAGAUUUUUUUCUAGAAGGCAAUGAGAGUGGUAGAGUAGUAGGUAAGAUAAAUAUUUUUAAUUAAUGAGAUUGAUUUUUUUUUUGUAUCAGUUACUUCUAGUGUAAAAGGUGUACAACCUUUUUGACAAAUUGAUAUGGUAGUUUAACAAGGCUUCUUUAUAACACACUCCAUGUAUGUAUGUAUGUAUGUAUGUACGAACGAACGAAAGAUACAAAAUAAUUGGAGGUCUAUAUUAAUGAAUGCCAACACAUUUCCAAUGACCAUUUCAAUGUACUAAUUAUGUUAUAUAUUAAUUUAAUUUAAUUUUUGAUGUGACAUAAAUUUUUUAAAUUGUUGAUGUUAUAUUUUAUUAAAUUAAAAAAUAAAUAAUUUAAAUUAUUUUCACCUAAAUUAAGAAAAAUAAACACAUUUCAAAAAAUGUUUUUAUUUUCUCCAAAAUAUAUUUUUUAAUCUAUAAAGAUAAAUAAUUAUUUGUAAUAUAAUGUAUCAAUUUUAAUUUAAUGUAUUUGUAUACAUCAAAUUUUAAUUUUAGUUUAAUUUUUACGUUUCAUAACUCUAUUUUUCAUUUAACAUAAUUCUCUAUUAAGUUAUAUGUAAAUUGCUGACAUAAUAUUUUAUGAGGUUAAAAUCCAAAGGCCAUGGCUCCACAUGGUUUUCCAAUAGGUUUUACUUAAUCAGAGGCAUGAUUCUGGGACCUAAAAGAUUAUGUUUGGCUGUAAAUUAAACAUAAAGAAAUGAGUACUUGAAAGAAGAGAAAACAGUUUCCCAGUAUGCCAAAUUUUUUUAGAGUUGAAUCACUUUUUGGUUUCAAUUUAAGGAUUAUAUUAUAUUGGAAUUUGAAAUUUAUUUAGUUCAAAUUAGAUUUUAAACUUGAUAAUGGGUUUAAAUUUUUUUCUAUUGUUUUAAGUUAAUCUUUAAACUUUGCAAUUAUUUUUUGUUAAUUCUGGAUAUUUUUUGAAAACCCUAAAGUUCAGACUAUAAUGUGAGAACAGUUGUCAAGUUUAGGCCUCAAUAUGAGAGCAAUUACCAAGUUCAAGUGUCAUGGGUUGCACAUGGAGAUCUAGCCCGUGACGUAAAGACUAACUUGGACAACAAAAAAGUUGGGUUAAAUAACUUUUUUGGGACCUAAACUUGGCAAUAAUCUCCACAUUGGGGUCUAAACUUUUUUUUUAUUUAAGUUAGGUCCUAAACUUGGCAAUUGUUUCUAUAUUGAAUCUUAAACUUUUUUUAUCCAAUUUGAUCCUUGAUAUUUCCAUUAAAACCCUAAAGUUUAGAUCCUAAUGUGAGAAUAAUUACUAAAUUCGAGAACUAACUUGAACCAAAAAAGUUUAAACCCAAUGUGGAAAAAAUUGUCUAAUUCGGUCCUCAAUAUAAGAACUAUUAUUAAGUUUAGAGAUUAACUUGGACAAGAGGCAUUUAUACACCGAUAUAAAAAUUGUUUUCAAGUAGAAGCCAAAAAUGGUAAAAUUAAGUUCUCAAAUUUGUUAAAUUUAUUGUAAUGAUAAAAAAGGCAUGCCACGUGAAUAUAUUUUCAGCAUAAAAUAUAAGAACAAACAUGGCUCGCCCACAAGAUCACAUUCCAUGGCAAAAUUAAGGGAAAGCCAAACCAUGUACUAUUUAGCUUUGAUUGCUGUAUAUUAUAUGAAUCCAAGGCCCCCAAGAGGACGCUUGUAGCGGAGUGAAUGGUGAGUUUUUGACUUUAUUAGGUAACAUUAUGUAACAUUUUGUAACAUUAUCAUAGUGAUUCAGUGCUAUUACAGCAUUAGAAACAUGAAAAAUAAUGCCUAUAUUUAAAGAUAUAUAUAUAUUUAUAUACUUUAUGUUCGAUCUAUGGUUCAUGUUAAGGGUUCGUGGCUGUCUUUUUUAACUAUGUCAUCUUUAAAGUUCGAACUUAAAUUCUCUCUUUGUUAAGUAUAUAUUUUUAAUGGUGUUUUGUUUCAAUCCAUUUAAAGUCAUAUCUUUAUCAUGAUUUUUAUCGGUGGGCAGGUUAUUAAGUUAUCUACUACUCUUCUUGUAAUGGCGUAAAUUUAAUGUUAUCGGAACAGUGGUUUCGUAACCACAAAUUCAGUAGGUUCAACAGAUAAAUUUUUAACAAUUGCAAGUUUAACACAUAUAUAUGAAUGCGUAGAACCAGGAUCAAUCAAUGUAGUAAUAUCAGUAUCAAGUAAAGAAAAUGUACCAGUAAUAACAUCGGGUGCUGAAGCAUCUUCUCUGGCACGAAUGGCAUAUGUCCUAGUAAGUGCUCGUACCUCAGGCCUACCUAUAGUAUCUUUUGUAGCUCCUCGACUACCACUGACAUUACCGGAUGGUCGAGGUGGUCUGCCCCUCGAAACUAGAUUACUCGGCUUCGAUAUAUGUUCAACUUCUUUUUCAACCCUUUCAGGACAAUCUCUGAGGAAAUGGUCAAAAGAACCACAUCGGUAACAAGCCCCACUCUUAAAUCGGCAUUCACCAAAAUGAGCUUUAUUACAGUACUGGCAUCUCGAUUUAGGAGUGCCAACACUGCCAACACUAGUCACUGACGGAGUAGAGGGCCUUGGAUUAGUGCGUUGAGA
rnacentral:lncRNA from 1 species